rnacentral:tRNA from 1 species
GGAUUAUUAUUUUAAGUAAAAAUAUUAAUUUGUAAAAUUAAAGAUGAUAAUCUU